UAAGGAAUAUUGGACAAUGGGGGCAACCCUGAUCCAGCCAUGCCGCGUGCGGGAAGAAGGCCUUCGGGUUGUAAACCGCUUUUAGCCGGGAAGAAAAGGCGCCACCUAAUACGGGGCGUUCUUGACGGUACCGGCGGAAUAAGCACCGGCUAACUACGUGCCAGCAGCCGCGGUAAUACGUAGGGUGCGAGCGUUAAUCGGAAUUACUGGGCGUAAAGCGUGCGCAGGCGGUUCGUUAAGUUCGUUGUGAAAGCCCCGGGCUCAACCUGGGAACUGCAAUGGAAACUGGCAGGCUUGAAUGCGGCAGAGGGGGGUGGAAUUCCGCGUGUAGCAGUGAAAUGCGUAGAGAUGCGGAGGAACACCGAUGGCGAAGGCAGCCCCCUGGGCCGACAUUGACGCUCAGGCACGAAAGCGUGGGGAGCAAACAG
rnacentral:rRNA from 1 species